CAGGGUUUGGGUAGAGGAGGAAUUCUGCAAGGGAGACUGAGAAGGAGGAGUUGAAGAAAAAGAUGAAAACCAGAAGAGUGUCAUGGAAACUAAGAGGCGCCAGUGUUUUGGUGGAAAGCACUUCAUUCAACUUCUGGAUGAGUGAUUUAAGCCAAGUGAAAUACAACACUUUCGUUAAUUAACUCGGGCCCUCCUUGGGACUUUCAGUAUUGCUCACAAGAGGAUCUACAAGCAAGCUGCAUUGGCAAUGUGUCUUCCAUUAUUUAUUUUCUUUAAACCUAGGUGACAAGAUUCCUAUCGGGCACCCUGACUCCUUUACACAGUUCUCAUCUAAAAAGUCUGGAAAAGGCCAGACUUCUGAAGAUCCAGCCAUGUAAAUGCGACAAUUCUAUGGACUGACGAUGCUGCAAGCCUUGGACAUCAUGCAUUAAUCCUUUUAGAUGGCUCAGGGCAGCUCCUUUUCUCCUUAUCUUCUCUCAUUGAGACAUGGGGUGGACUCUGCCUGACUCAAUUUCAGCCUCACAUUACAGAGAGGAAUGGAAGCAUUUCUAGAGAAGCCUGGGUAUGCACUGGAAGAAACACAUUUACAAGAUGCACAGUUCAAUCCUUCAAGUGAAAUGUGUCUACGUAGAAGAAUAUUAAUUUAAUUAAUGCAAAUAAAUUAAGGUGUUUUUUGCCUUCAAUAUAAAAUUGUUUUACC
rnacentral:lncRNA from 1 species